rnacentral:rRNA from 1 species
CAGCCGCCGCGGGAAUACGUAGGGUGCAAGCGUUAAUCGGAAUUACUGGGCGUAAAGCGCACGCAGGCGGUUUGUUGAGUCAGAUGUGAAAUCCCCGAGCUUAACUUGGGAACUGCAUUUGAAACUGGCAAGCUAGAGUCUUGUAGAGGGGGGUAGAAUUCCAGGUGUAGCGGUGAAAUGCGUAGAGAUCUGGAGGAAUACCGGUGGCGAAGGCGGCCCCCUGGACAAAGACUGACGCUCAGGUGCGAAAGCGUGGGGAGCAAACAGGAUUAGAUACCCGGGUAGUCCCUGUCUCUUAUAC